rnacentral:rRNA from 1 species
AUUGAACGCUGGCGGCAGGCCUAACACAUGCAAGUCGAGCGAGCGGCGGACGGGUGAGUAUUUUCUGGAAACCUGCCUGAUGGAGGGGGAUACCUACGGGAAACGGUAGCUAAUACCGCAUACCAUCAGAUUUUCCCAUAUGGGAUUGGCUAGUAGGUGGGGUAACGGCUCACCUAGGCCACGAUCCCUACCUGGUCUGAUGGGAUGACCCUCCACACGGGAAAUGAGACAAGGUCCAGACUCCUACGUGAGGCAGCAGUGGGGAAUAUUGAAAAAUGGGCGCAAGCCUGAUGCAGCCAUGCCGCGUGUGUGAAGAAGGCCUUCGGGUUGUAAAGCACUUUCAGCGGGGAGGCGUUAACCGCAGAAGAAGCACCGGCUAACUCCAUGCCAGCAGCCGCGGUAAUUC